rnacentral:lncRNA from 1 species
AGAUGCUUUGCCUCGCCUCUCGCUGUGUAUCUGUAUGCCUGUGUGCGCGCGCGUGCUCGCUCGGGCAUCCGUGUCUAGCCGAGGGGAGGGGGUGGCGUGUGAGUGCGUGGAGGGUAAAAGCCAGUCAGUCAGUGAGAAGCAAAGAUCAACCACCUCAGAAGAGCCAGAUUCCACUUCUGUGGCCAGGACUUUUACAUUAUGGCUGGUCCGAUUGUUUUACCCUGCGUUCUAUGCUACUAAACCUUGGAUCAUUCCUAAAGUGUCUGAUGAUUUGUGAGCCUCAAGUGACUACUCUGUGGAAUCAUCUGUCCUUGCCUUUGAAUUAGCUUUCCCUAGGCCAUGAGUCAACAUUAGUAGUUUAUACAUCCAAAUUGAUGACAAGAGCACCUCAAAGGCAGCAGCCUCAAGGAGCAGCCAUGGCCCCAGACUUGUCGCACGGAUGCAGAAAACUUAAUGGAGGAGGCUGAGGUCAGAAUGGGAAGAGUUUUUAAAAAAUAAAAAGGGGAGCUAAUAUGUGAGGAACUGAUUGCUGUGCAUUAUUUUCCACUGAACAGACCUUCUUUUAACUUCUAAUCUCAAGCACAUAGCAGCUGUUGUUUUCAUAUUAAAGAUCAGUAAGUGUUUGUUGAAUGAAUGUAUAAAUUCUUCCCCAAUCUCUGUUCCAUGUAAUAAGAACUAAGUUAGCAUUCAAUUAUAAAGAGGACUUAGAAAGUCUGCAGACAUUUUUGAUCAAAAAUCCUUUUAACUGUCUUCUUAUGGUUCCCGGUAACACCUAAGCCCAAAAAACUCAGGUCAUUUCUUGCCUGUACUGUUGCAAUAGCCUCAUAAUAACUAGUCUUCUCCUUUAUCAACCACAGUCGUCUCCGCUACACAAAGAAGAGAGGGUGCUAAUCUAAAGUGUAAAUUAUUUUAAAUCAGCACCCUUCUUGUAAUUUCCCAGUGGUUUUUCCUGUCAUAAGAAUAACAUGCAAAAUUCCUUGCUUGCAAAGCCAGGUAUGACCUUGCCCCGUCUACCUUACUGGCAUCGUCUCUCAUGACUCUUCCCCUUUUUCACUCUCCAUCUUGCCUUUUCCCAACCAUGCCUGCUAGUGAGCCUUAGCCCUUGUGUUUUCUCUGCCAGGGAUGCAUGACUGGCUUCUUUACUUUAUUCUGAUCUCUCUGCUCAAAUGUCAUCUUUUUAGAGAUAGCUUUCCUAAACAUCUUUAAAAGUACCCCAUGAACUGUGAAACACCUUUCCUGCUUUUUCUUCAUAGUACUUAUCACUUCCUGAUAUUAUGUUAGACAACAAGCAAAUAAGUAUAUGCUGUUCCCACUAAAAUAUAAGCUCCAUUUGAACAGGAGCCUUGAUUAUUCCUGAGUAUACCCCUAGUGCCCAGAACCUAGUAGGGCUUUAAUAAAUAUUAGAUUCAUUUGUUGAAUGAAAAAAUGAAUGAAUAAUUGAAUAAAGAUAUCCAGGUAGAGUGUCCGGGCAGCCCAACCUAUGUGAAGCCAGUACAAGAAUGUUUCUGUGACAUAGUGAGCGCAAUUAUUCCUCUAAAUGAUGAACUUGCAUGAGUACACAAGGAUAAAAUUAAGCACGUAGUUUAGAUUUCUGCAAGUCUCUUCCUCAGAUUGAGGAAAAACAAAGAAAUUGAGCUUAUUCUCACCUCAUUCUUACAUGAACUAAAUCCAGAAUAAAGCAUCAUUUAAAUACCAAGCACAUCCCUACCUCAGCCACUCAUGGAAUACUUUAUCUGUAAAGGGACAGAUAGAUAGUAAAUAUUUUUGGCUUUGGGGACCGUACAGUCUGUGUCGCCACUACUCAGCACUUCUGUUGAGGUGUGGAAUCAGCCCUAGACAACACAUAAACAAAUGGGUGUGGCUGUGUUCCAAUAAAA